AGAUAGAGAUAGAGAUAGAGAUAGAGAUAGAUAGAUGUUUGAACUCAUUCACCUUAUACUUCUAAUCUUUUAACAGCCACAUAUUUAAAUAUUCCUCCACAGUUGAUAAAAUUGGAGGGUUUAUUUGGGCAGUAAGUGUGCUUUUGGAGAUUUUAAUCCCCAUUAGUAUUUGAGCUCCGCUGGCAUGGCUGUGCCUGUGAGAGGCAGCGGUUGUGUGGGGUUUCGCCUGCACUGUGAUGGGAAAGGCAAGACUGUCGAGUUUUAGAAGCAACACGGGGACUCUUGGUGGCUCUGUGGUAAGGAAGGGUCAGACACAGAAACCAAGCACCAUAAAGGAAGACCCCCGAUACGCUUUCUCACAUGAAAAUGAAGAAUCGCCUUUUCUCAAAUGUGAUCAUAAAGGGAGCAAAUGAUGACACCACAGACAGGGACGGUCCAGGGGACAUAACCAACCGAUAGUCAGCAUCUGGGUUACGGAAGGAGCGCCUGUGGGUCACUAGGGGAAAGGUGGACGGCCCGGUAGGAGACCCACCCCGGCUGGGUCUGGGGACCAGGGCGAGCAUGCUGCCGGGGGCCUGGGCCCGCGGAUAGCCAUGCCCACCUCCGCGUCACCAGCCCUCUGUGGUCCGCGGGCGACAGUGAACACCCACCCGCCUGUGUUCUCCUUAGUCGCCCCUGCGUGUCCUGGAGGCGUCUUUAAGGGCUGGACUAGACAGGGCCCCAGUCUCAGUUGUCCAGACCCUUUCAAGGUCAGUCCGGGGGCUCUGACACCAAUGGAAUCAGCUGCCUCGGUCUCUCCUCACCCAGUUUCCUGACCCCCUCAAGAAUGUCUCGGCCUCCAGAACUGGGAUCCCCAGCCAGAAUGCAGGUGGCAGCGAGGGGCAGGUGCAGGGAGGGGCAGGUGCAGGGACAACUGGCCCGGACAUGGGCUGAGCCCCAGGGCCUAGUUCAAAUCUCAGGUCACACUCACCGGUCAUGAGCCCUGGGCCAGUUUCCGAACCUGUCUGCCUCAUUUUCUCAUCUGUAAAAUGGGGGUAAGAACAAUAAGCUUAGCCCGGCCGGCGGGCUCAGGGGGUGAGCGUUGACCUAUGAACCAGGAGUCACAGUUCAAUUCCCGGUCAGGGCUCAUGCCGGGUUGCGGGCUCCAUCCCCAUGUGGGGCGUGCAGGAGGCAGCUGACCAGUGAUUCUCUCAUCACUGAUGUUUCUCUCUCUCCCCCUCUCUCUUCCUCUCUGAAAUCUACCUAUCUAUCUAUAUCUAUCUAUCUAUAUCUAUAUAUAUAGGUAUACAGAAAUAGAUAGAGAUAUAGAUUUUUUUUAAUUUUUUUUUU